UUGCCGGAAUAUUUUAUAUGCUAAAUCAGUCAAUCAAACUGACACUUACUUUGUUUUUUCACACCUCAUUUCCAUUUGUUAUGAUGAAUUCAUUUUGAUGUGUGCUGGCAUUGACCCAAUACAGUAAACAAACAUAGGAUAGUCUACUCUGAUAUAUUCAACUAUUAUUGAUUUUGAACAUGAAUUGUUUAAACUUAUAAAUUAAGAAUGAAUUUUUCAUGUCUUAACCUUUGGAAAGUAUAAAAAUGCUAGUGGCCCAAACGAAAAAACUAAUUUACAAAACAAUAACAAAACACUAGCAAAACGUCAACAAAACAGGAAGUUCUUUGAAAGCAGGAUGGAGUUAUUUCACUACAAAGAAGUUUAUUUGUAUAGCUCUUUGUUUACUAUGUGCAGUUUAUAUUUAACAUGGAAGUUUAAAAGUAAUGAAAGGAAUACAAAUGGUAUAGCACCAUAAGUGUAUAUUAAGUUUGGCACACAUGAAUGAAUUGGAUCCUAAUCAACGUAUUGUGUUCAAAGAAGACUUAAUGAAUCCAGCAGUUCAAAAACAUGUUUUGCAGUGAGACGAAUGGUGGCAAAUGAUGGCUUUGUGGCGGUUAGUGAAAAACUGUGGCAUUUUACACUGAUGGUGGCUAAUAUUUACAGAAAAUUUCACAAUCAAUAGUGACAUUCAGUUGAUAGUAAUGGCAUAUCUUACACUGACUAUACAUCAGAAGAUUGUUGAAAAAAAACAUGGCAAAAUUGGUAAAAUAUUGAUACACUUCAAUGACUUUAGAACGGAGUAGAAAAUGGUGAAAUUGUAGCACCAUAUUGUGUGUAUACUUUUUCUGGUAUCCGCGCAGUCCGGUCAGGAUCCAUGUUGUUCGCUAAUGGUUUCUCUGGUUGCAAUAGUAUUUGAAAGCAAACAGCAUGGAUCCUGACCAGACCGCGCUGAUGUGCAGGCAAAGCUAUUCUGUUGGUUUUCUCCUGGCGCGGCUCGUAUAUAAAUUUGUUUCAUGCAUGUAAAUAAUGUUUAGUUUAUGGUAUUUUUUCAGCACAUGUAAUGAAACACUAAAAACACAUAAAAUAUUUUGUUAGUGUUUUGUUUAAAUUUGUAACCUAGCUCUUUUGCAUAUCAUAUGUUUUGUUGGUGUUUUGUUAGCAGUGUUUUGUUAGUGUUUUCUUUAGCACAUAAUUAUAAUGAAACACUAACAAAACAUAAAGCAUUCUGUUAGUGUUUUGUAUAAACCUGUAACAUAAUUUGCAUAUCAUGUUUUGUUGGUAUUUCAUUAGCAAUGUUUUAUUAGUGUUUUGUUAGUGUUUUAUUACCUCAUUUGCAUGUCCUUUGCUAUACUAAUAAAACAUCAUCAAAACACAG